ensembl:lncRNA
UUGAAUUUCAUCUACUUCUGCUAUACCAUAGUAUCGUUGUGGGCAAGUAGGUUUUGAAAUGAUCAUUAAAUGAUGGAGGACAUUCUCUCGAGUCAGUUCAUGUUUAUUGUUUUUUGAAAGUUCUUACACAUUCCGUAACUGCAUGCUAGAAAAUCCCAUGGUAGGUAUGUCACUCAUUCAGCUUCACUUGAAAUGCAGAAGGCUUUGACGAAACAACGCAUCUCUUCCCACGAGACGUCAAACUUCAUACGAUUUUAGUUGCUGAAUUGCUUUGAUAAUAUUUUGCUGUGGAGACAGGGUUCACAUGGAUCGGUUUGUCUGGAGCUGCACAAAGAAAGGAUAUAAAUGAGGUGGAUUCAUGACUUUAUUAUCUCUAGCUUCUCGUGUGGCGUUCCGACGCUGAUCCGAGCGCUCGGUCCUUGUGUCCACCUGCUCAGUGGGUGUGGCUGCGGCAGCCCGGCUGCUGCAGGUAGGCGCCGCGGUGUGUGUGGGACCUGUGGCUCUCGCUCUGCUGGCGGGCGCAGUUCUGCCGCUGGAGACUGCUCCGCGUCAGCUGGCGGCGCUUCUCCCCGGCCUGAGCCCUCUGGACCCGAGAGGCGUGUGUGACCUUGGCCAGCGCGGCGGCCCGGGACGCCACGUUCUGGAGGACCCCCGCGAUCAGAGCGCUGCGGUCCACCAGAACCUCCGGCUCUGACAGCCUAGGAGGAAACGUACCCAGGUGAGGCGAACAGGAAAUCACAUCUCUAAAUCAGGUCGGAAAUGGAUUCAAAAACAUCUCUUGGUUUGCACACUCAAAGCCAGAGUUUAGAAUACAGUGUCUAGGAGCUGGACACUGUAUCCUCAACCGUCUGUGUUCUGAAACUUUAGGUACUCAGGAGGCACCUCGACUCUAGGUGUGUCUAGAUAUGAAACAACCUUUUUGUGGAGAUUUUCAUUCCCUUCUUACCCGCUGCCAUCUCCUGGGUUAGGGUCAGGGUGUUCACUCAGAGCAGGCGUCAACACAGCACCUUGAAUCUGGUCCUCCUCUCCUGAACACCCCCUCGCUGACAGCUUCUGUGGAGACAUGGGGCAUAACAUCACCGCCGCUGUUGGGGUCCUAUCGUUCAUAUAGAAUGAACACAUCGACUAGGACAGGAAGCCAGCCUUCGUCAACCACUUCCCCCGCUGGGCUGGGCAUCGUCGGCAGUCUUCUCCUCUCCACCAAAAAGCAGGCGGGCGAUUGCAGUGAACAUGUCUGUAUCUCUGCUGACUCCCACCAGCCAGGACGUUGUCCCUUGCUGUUCUUCUAGAGGUCAGGUGGUGCGAUGAAGGGCUUCUCCCAGCUUGAUUGUCUGCUGCUGUUGUGCAUAGAGAGAAAAGAAGGAUGAGUUAAGUCUAUAUUGGAUACAGUGGCCCAGCCUUUGAACAGAAACUUCACACACUGACUUAUUGUUAUACUAUUUGAUAAUAUGGUAUAUACAAUUUUAGAAAUCCCCAAUUUUUACAUAUCGAAUCUCUUUUACAUAUCACCUCGUAUUUUAUAUAUCAUCAAACAACAAAGGUCCUCUCCUCUUCCAAAGUAGGUCAUCAUGACUUUGAAA